GCGGGCGUAGUUUAGUGGCAGAACGUCAGCUUCCCAAGCUGAAGGUGUGGGUUCGAUUCCCAUCGCCCGCUCCA
rnacentral:tRNA from 1 species